GACGAACGCUGGCGGCGUGCUUAACACAUGCAAGUCGAACGGAAAGGCCCUGCUUUCCUUGGGUGCUCGAGUGGCGAAAGGGUGAAUAACAUGAGAGUAACCUGCCUUUGCUUCCGGGAUCACUUGUGUAAACUGGGGAUACUACCGGUUAUGCGCUCCAGGUGCAUGGUGGGGGUUGGAUAGUUUCGGCGGAUGGGGAUGGACUCGGGGCUUAUCUGCCUGUCGGUGGGGUUGUGGCUUACGAAGUCUCCGACGGGUAGCGGGCCUGAGAGGGUGACCGGCGACAUGGGGACGGAUACACGGCCCAGACGCCUACGGGAGUCAGCAGUGGUGAAUAGUGCACAAUGGGCGGAAGCCUGAGGCAGCAACGCCGCGUGCGGGAUGACGGCCUUCGUUUGGUAGACCGCAUGCGCCUGUGACGAAGCGUUAGUGACGGUAGUGGGUAAAGAAGCACCGGCUAACUACGUG
rnacentral:rRNA from 1 species